rnacentral:rRNA from 1 species
AAAGCAAUUUUAGCGGCGGACGGGUGAGUAACGCGUGAGCAUUCUGGCUUUUACAGGGGGAUAACACAGGGAAACUGUUACUAAUACCGCAUAUUAUUAUUUAAUCGCAUGAUUGAGUGAUGAAAGUGGAAACACGGUAAAGGGGGGAGCUCGCGUUCUAUUAGAUAGUUGGUGGGGUAACGGCCUACCAAGUCAACGAUAGAUAGCCGACCUGAGAGGGUGAUCGGCCACACUGGAACUGAGACACGGUCCAGACUUCUACGGAAGGCAGCAGUAGGGAAUAUUGGGCAAUGGGGGAAACCCUGACCCAGCGACGCCGCGUGAGGGAAGAAGGUUUUCGGAUUGUAAACCUCUGUUCUUGGUGAAGAGUGGAAGACGGUAACCAAGGAGGAAGCCCCGGCUAACUACGUGCCAGCAGCCGCGGUAAUACGUAGGGGGCGAGCGUUGUCCGGAAUGAUUGGGCGUAAAGGGCGCGUAGGCGGCUGUUUAAGUCUGGAGUGGAAGUCCUAUUUUUAAGGUAGGAAUUGCUUUGGAAACUGAGCAGCUUGAGUGCAGGAGAGGUCAUCGGAAUUCCCGGUGUAGCGGUGAAAUGCGUAGAGAUCGGGAGGAACACCAGUGGCGAAGGCGGGUGACUGGACUGCAACUGACGCUGAGGCGCGAAAGUGUGGGGAGCAAACAGGAUUAGAUACCCUGGUAGUCCAUGCCGUAAACGGUGGGCGCUAGGUGUAGGGGUCUUCCACGACUUCUGUGCCGUAGCUAACGCA